CUAAUGGUCAUAAUCGGUAUCCAGGGUCACCCCCUGUCAUGUGUGACAUAUUGCUUGUGACCACAGCUGGAGCACAGCCUGUCUUUGAGUUUUAGCUGGCUGUUUUCUUCAGUGUGUAGCAGUUAUGCUGCCAGGUGCUCUACUAUCGAGCCACCGUUAAGUUUAAAACUACAGUAAUGAGAAAAAGGAAGUAAAGACCAGAUCUUGGACUAUGUCAUGAAACAUAUUUGCCUCCAGGUGGUUGAAAUGCCAGAACAAGGCAGCCUGGUGACAGUGACAGAUGGACAGCAUGACAGAGCAAUUAGAUAGACAGUGAGAAGUAAUAGAUUAAUGCCCUUGUUGACUAAUUGCUGACAUGAGAAGGCCAAUAAAUAAUACACAAUAAGCUAGAAAUCA
rnacentral:lncRNA from 1 species